rnacentral:rRNA from 1 species
UGCCAGCAGCCGCGGUAACACGGGGGGCGCAAGCGUUAUUCGGAAUUAUUGGGCAUAAAGCGCACGUAGGCGGCCAAGUCAGUUCGGUGUGAAAGCCCUCGGCUCAACCGGGGAACUGCAUCGGAUACUGCUUGGCUUGAGGAUGGUUGGGGUGAGUGGAACUCCUGGUGGAGCGGUGAAAUGCGUAGAUAUCAGGAGGAACACCAGUGGCGAAAGCGACUCACUGGACCAUAUCUGACGCUGAGGUGCGAAAGCUAGGGUAGCGAACGGGAUUAGAUA